UACAGAGGGGGCUAGCGUUGUUCGGAAUUACUGGGCGUAAAGGGCGCGUAGGCGGCCCUCUAAGUCGAACGUGAAAUCCCCGGGCUCAACCCGGGAACUGCGUCCGAUACUGGAGGGCUCGAAUCCGGGAGAGGGAUGUGGAAUUCCAGGUGUAGCGGUGAAAUGCGUAGAUAUCUGGAGGAACACCGGUGGCGAAGGCGGCAUCCUGGACCGGUAUUGACGCUGAGGCGCGAAAGCCAGGGGAGCAAGCGGG
rnacentral:rRNA from 1 species